rnacentral:rRNA from 1 species
UACAGAGGGUGCAAGCGUUAAUCGGAAUUACUGGGCGUAAAGCGUGCGUAGACGGUCAUGUAAGUCGGGUGUGAAAGCCCCGGGCUCAACCUGGGAACGGCAUUGGAAACUGGCUUACUGGAGUGCGGUAGAGGGGUGUGGAAUUCCCGGUGUAGCAGUGAAAUGCGUAGAUAUCGGGAGGAACAUCUGUGGCGAAGGCGACACCCUGGACCAGCACUGACACUGAGGCACGAAAGCGUGGGGAGCAAACAGG